rnacentral:lncRNA from 1 species
ACAUGUCAACUUUAUCCUGCAGGUGGCAGGGGAGGAUAUGGUUGCCAGUCUCUCUGGGGACAUAUUCUUAUAGCUCUUGGCAAGAAAAGAAAAAGGAACCCAAGAAGAACUAUGAUUGGACUGACUUACAGGACACAGCUGUCCUGACCCAGCACUGUGGCCAGCUGCAUGAGACCACAUGAGGCUGGUAUGGUGGCUUCAUAUUCAUCAGACUCUGUGGCUCAUGUUGCUCUCUAUCCUCCACACAAGGUUUCCAUCUGAUAAUCUAAGGUAGUUGCCCUAGCAUGAGUUUUCCUGG